CCUACGGGAGGCUGCAGUGGGGGAUAUUGCACAAUGGGGGAAACCCUGAUGCAGCGACGCCGCGUGGGCGAAGAAGUAUUUCGGUAUGUAAAGCCCUAUCAGCAGGGAAGAAGAAAUGACGGUACCUGAGUAAGAAGCACCGGCUAAAUACGUGCCAGCAGCCGCGGUAAUACGUAUGGUGCAAGCGUUAUCCGGAUUUACUGGGUGUAAAGGGAGCGCAGGCGGCACGGCAAGCCUGAUGUGAAAGCCCGCGGCCCAACCGCGGGACUGCAUUGGGAACUACCGGGCUGGAGUGCCGGAGAGGUAGGCGGAAUUCCUAGUGUAGCGGUGAAAUGCGUAGAUAUUAGGAGGAACACCAGUGGCGAAGGCGGCUUACUGGACUGUAACUGACGUUGAGGCUCGAAAGCGUGGGGAGCAAACAGGAUUAGAUACCCGGGUAGUC
rnacentral:rRNA from 1 species